AAUCUAUGCAGUUUAUGCGCAUUUCAGAAUGCAAUCCAAGUAUUAUAUUUUUGGAAAAUAAGUUCUACGAUUGAACGUCGAGCAAAUUUCAACUAUAAAAAUCAAUGGACACGUAAUGGCAGACGAUUGGUUGUUGCAAAACCAUGAUGUGAGAGCAGCUUUAAUCCACGCGACUACCAUGUGUUGAGAGAAA